rnacentral:lncRNA from 1 species
ACCAGCAGACCCAAGUAACCAGGCACAGCUGGCCAGCACUGACAAGGAUGCUGGGACUAGCAAGCUCUGAUGAAGCCCCUGGCAAGUAACGACCUUGUGGUCAGCCAUGGCUGAAACAGCAGCGUGGAUCUCCUUUGCUUGGGACCAUUCCCACCACAGGAAACUAACUUAGGGUCUCCUGGCCCUGGGAACCGCACAGGGAGGAAAGAAAAGAACCAACGAUUGUAAGCUCCAGAAGAAUGAGAAACCAAGAAUCCUGUGGUGACUAGACAAUCACAUGUUAUCCACACAAGAUCAGACCUGAGCUAACAUCUGCCGCCAAUCCUCCUCUUCCUACAGAGGAAGGCAGGCCCUGAGCUAACAUCCGUGCUCAUCUUCCUCCACUCUACAUGCAGGGCGCCUGCCACAGCAUGGCCUGGCAAAUGGUGCCGUGUCCAUACCCAGGAUGCAAACCGGCGAACCCCAGGCCACUGAAGCAGAAUAUGCGCACCUAACCACUGCGCCACUGGAAGUUUGUAUCUUUUGACCCCCUUCACCCAUUUCUCUCACCCCCCCACCCCUAACCUCUGGCAACCACCAAUCUGUUCUCUGUAUCUAUGAGCUUGGUUUUUUCAGGGGGUUUGUUUUUGCUUUUUAGAUUCUACAUAUAAGAGAGGUCAUACAGUAUUUGUCUUUCUCUGUCUGACAUUUCACUUAACAUAAUGCCCUAGAGGUCCAUCCAUGUUAUUGCAAAUGGCAAGAUGUCAUUCUUUUUUAUGAAUAAUAUUCAUUAAUAUUUUAUGAAUAAUGUUUAAUAUUAUGGAUGCAUAAUAUAUGAAUAUUAUAGUAUUUGUCAUUUUGUGCCUGGAUGGUUUCAUUUAGCAUAGUGUCUCCAAGGUUCAUCCAUGUGGUAAUACAUAUCAGAAUUCCCUUCCCUUCAAAGACUGAAUGAUAUUCCAUUGUAU